CCAUCUGAUUGAACUGCAGUAAAUGAUGGACUGUUUGUUGAUUUGUAAUCAUAUAAGACAGGGCUGUGAAUGAGGCCUGUCAGUGUGAUCAGGCUCCUCCUUCUAAUCCACCAACUUAGUGUUGAUGAAGACUAAACAGAGAGAUCACAGCCUUCUUUCUACUUGCUGUAGCUCACAGUUACUCAACACUGCAGAUAUGACGCAGCCUCUGUUCAUCUCAGUGUUGCUGGCUGCUCUGUGCCUUGAAUGCAGAGCACAAAGAGACAACGUGCUGCAACCAAAAGGAGAUGUGACUGCGACUGAAGGAGAGGAAGUAACACUUGACUGUCAAUAUAACAGCAGUUCAUCAAAUGAUUAUCUCUUCUGGUACAAACAGGAUGGAAACAACAGCCCCAAAUUCAUACUGAGCCGUUUCAAGGUUGGCACAGGGAAAACUGAGGACACGUUUAAGGAGGAAUUUUCAUCCACCCUUGAUUCAACCAUGGGCCAGUGCUGUAGAUGCAGACAUGAAACACUGGCUGAGAAACAUCCUGAUUCUGACUCUCUGGCUAGAGUGUAAAGGAGAAGACAGAGUGACCCAGCCACCAGGAGAUGUCAUUGCUACUGAAGGAGAGACAGUUACACUUGGAUGUACAUUUGGGUCCACUGCAACAUAUUCCUAUUUGUUCUGGUACAAACAAGAACUAAAUAAUGUCCCCAAG